UUUAACAUAGGGCAAAACUGGAGUAAUCCAGUGACGCAAAGCCACGGGUCCUUGCCGAGGAUAGCCGGGUUGCUGAA
rfam:Pelobacter carbinolicus DSM 2380, complete genome.